UACGAAGGGGGCUAGCGUUGUUCGGAAUUACUGGGCGUAAAGCGCGCGCAGGCGGUCUUCCAAGUCAGUGGUGAAAGCCCGGAGCUCAACUCCGGAACUGCCAUUGAAACUGUUGGACUUGAGUAUGAGAGAGGUGAGUGGAAUUCCCAGUGUAGAGGUGAAAUUCGUAGAUAUUGGGAAGAACACCGGUGGCGAAGGCGGCUACACUGGCUCAUUACUGACGCUCAGGCGCGACAGCGUGGGGAUCAAACAGG
rnacentral:rRNA from 1 species